UGCCUUUUAAACACAAAGGAUCCUGAUGUGCCAAAACAUACGUUGGUAAGACCAGAUUUGCUUGAAGCCGGUCUUUUUCUCGAACCUGCCUUUGAAAAAGGUGUUUCAGAGUAGAGAGAGCCUCUCAGGUUUUGUUGGGACAGUGACUGCACCAAUUCCUUUUACAAUAUUGCGGAACAGAAAGGAACUGGUGUCAAUUCCUGAUAUUUUUCCCACUUGGUGUCUGAUUUUCUCUGUACUUCACUUUCUACAGAGUUCCAGAGCCAACAUCAUCUCUACCAGCUCCGAAAUCUCUGCAUUUCUUUGCUGCGCAGCGGAGGCAUGCCCCUGCAUUCCUAUGGGCAGAAUUUGCCUUCAGUCAGUAAUUCUUUGGAGCCAAGUUUGGACAUUAAAAUGAGCAGUGCAGGCAGAAGACAAAAAUGUCAAAGAUCACUCAGAUAAACUAAUGACCUGGCUCUGGACAGGGCCUCAGAAUUACACCAUUUUCCAGAGCUGAACAUGACAAUUACUUUGUGAUGCCUACCUGCAGCAGAAGAACAAGCCAAAAAGCACCAGCAGCAGGCAGACUCCUCCCAGCCGGGGGCUCAGCACAUCACCUCGGAGCCCGCGGGAGGUGGCUGCAGCGAUCCCGAGGAGCUUUCACACCCCGCAGGCACAUGCACACGCUCCUGCUGUUGCUGACACCAGGACAGCAUCUACCAGGCAUAGUCUGGUUUAUGCUGGCGCUUCGUGCAUCCAACUUAAAAAUAAAGGGACUUCACAAGCAGAAGGACUCCUUAUUUUCACUGGAAAAUACUCAGCAUCCUACAGGCCUGAGCAGUAGGCAGCAGGAAAGGAGGGUGAAGUUUGUCACAGCAGCUGUUGGUGUCUGGUCAGCAACCCCCAGCUGUGCUCUCCCCCCCGGGACACAGGGAUGGGCCCGACAGCGCGCCACGGAUCCCGACUCCUCCGCCUCGGCUCUGCCUGCUGGAGCGGCCGCGGCAUCCACAGCUCCCCACCGGAGGAAAAAGUGGGACUGGUGGAGACAAUCAUUGGAUUCUCAGCAUUUUCACUGGCAGUUCUUGGACCGGCUGGAUGGUUCCUGUACCACCUUCCAAGCUAUAAAGAGAAAUAGAAAACAUCCCUUCAAAAUUAAGAUCUGGAGGCUGCGAUAAGCCAUAAUACUCCUGACAUGGAAUCUCUAGAAAGGGAGCACGCAGGCAACUGAGGGCCGGUUUAAAACAAAAUGACUGAAAAUUGAGUUCAAGUUUUAUGUACGCCACAUUGCUUCUGUAUGAAAAAAGACCAGAUAGGGAACACGACUAACUAAAUCUCCAGUUCUGCAGAACUCAGUCUUUACACACUGGGAUUAGUCCUGUGGGACUGCUCACCGGUCAGAAACCUGUACUCGUUUGCAGAUAUUGUAGAACUGGACCCUGAUACAAAAUGGUACAGUGAUACAAAAUAGUGAUAGGUCUACUCUUCUGCCUUCUGCUAAACAAAUUGGAGAAAACACCACGAAAUCGUUUAUAUAUAUAUAUGUUUAUAUAUAUAUAUAUACGCUUUCAUUUAUACUCAUCUCAGAUGACAGCUCCAAGAGUUAAAGAUUGUUUCCUUGAAAGUUUUAUUUUUGACCUUUAGAUGCAUUCUUUUGGUGUCCUCCCACCUGAUUUGCUACAAGAAUAGAUGUUUUUCUGCUGGUCAUGAUUGUCAGAUGCUUGAAUCAGAUCUAAACUUGUGAUAUUUGAAAGAUUUUGCUAUGUUUUCCUGUUUAAAAUGAAUGCUAUGAUAAAUACUUUGAAAUCUAGACUAUGUAAUAAAAUAAAUAGUAUUUGUCA
rnacentral:lncRNA from 1 species